UUAGUGGAUCACCAAAAGUCAUAGUCAACUUGAAGGUGUGUAACAGAAAUCCCGGAAACAACUUCCACACAAAGCCUGCAUCUCUAUCUAUGCCAACAUCCCAUAUUAAAGGGGGCUCAGGUAAGUGAAUCCAGUUACAUCUAACAGCAAAAUUAUUAUCUAAUAAUUUUAAAAGUGCCCAGUGUCACUUAUGUAUGCCAAACUCAAAUCUCAGGAUGGCUGCUAUCUGAAAUACUAUAGGUGACCACUAGCCCUAUAUUCUGUUCACAGGUAAAUAAUAUGCCCUUAUCUAUUCCCUCUGAUAUAAUUACUAAGCACAUAUUUAGGAAGAAGAGGAUAGUUUGUAGGCAUUAGUCUCCCCUUCCCAUCUAGCCCCUGCCGCCAUGGAAAAGAUUCUCAUCUUUCAAAAGGCGCCAGAUGCAACACUGGCUCGGUUGAUUGCUACGCCCGUCUCUAAUGGAAAGUAUUGAAAGUCAUCACAACAUCUCAAUUCAAAUUGGAAGUUUGCCCUUCAGAUGGUGAUGUCGUGCUAAAGCGAAAGGGGCCAUUUAGAAACGGAAUUAAAAAGGAAGAUGGACACUCUUGUUAGCAUUCUUUCAGAGUCGGAGGCCUGUGUUUGCUUUUUCCACUUGUGCGGGUGUGCAAUUUAAAAAACCAAUUAGGACAUUUGUGCAUUUGAAACAGAGCUUCCCAGGGGGACACUGCAGGAGGAAACAGACUAAAGAAGAGGCAACUUUGAAAAAGAGAGGCAGCGGAAGAGGAGCCCCAGAUGGCACAGCGGACUAAACUGCUGAGCUGCUGAACUUGCUGACUGAAAGGUUGAUGGUUCAAAUCUGGAGAACAGGGUGAGCUCCUGCUGUUAGCCCCAGCUUCUGCCAAUCUAGCAGUUCAAAAACAUGCAAAUGUGAGUAGAUCAAUAGGUACCACUCAGGCAGGAAGGUAAUGGCACUCCAUGCAGUCAUGCUGGCCACAUGACCUUGGGGGCAUCUAUGGACAAUGCCGUCUCUUUGACUUAGAAAUGGAGAUGAGCACCAACCCCCAGAGUCAGACAUGACUAGACUUAAUGUCAGGGGAAAACCUUUACCUUUACCUUAUGAGCUUGUUUAACUACUUAUCUUUCAGUCACAGCUGGUGCCUCUUACAUCAAUGAGGCUGUGAAUCUACUCUUAAGUUUUAGUCUGAACCU
rnacentral:lncRNA from 1 species